AUGGUUGACGGGCCCCUGUCACCUGCACUAUAUAUAAAGAGGUGGGGUCGUCGGCUCGGCAUACGAGGUUCGUCGCAACGCCGUACACCCCACCUACAUCCCUACCGAUCUAGGGUUAGUGCAGUGCUGACGGGAAGCGCCGUCACCACUUCACCCACGAUCUGCCAUCACUACCGCCACCAUCCCACCAUGGCCACCGGCGGCAGCUCUUCAGGCAAAGGAGAAGGUAACACCUAUCACCACUGUUGCCGGAAUUCUAGCCUACCCGAUCCAAGAGGUCCAACAAUACUAACUCCCGACAAGGUACCUCGAUCUGUGAAAUCAGCGGGAUUACAGCAAAAAGAUCUUAUUAUUACAUGCAAUGGGAAACCUGUGGCUACGAGUUUACAGUUGUUCGAAAUCUUAGCGGAGAAUAUUGGAAAAAUGGUGGGGGUUACUUUUAUUAAGGCUGAGGACAACAGUAAGCAUUCAAUAUAUCUUCCUGUGGAGGAGACUCUGGAGAAAAACUUCUAUAGCUGGCCAAUCGCACAGUACAGCAAUCUUUGCUAA
rnacentral:rRNA from 1 species